AGAAAACACACUCAGAAACAUGAAGUCGGCGGUGCCUCCGGGAUCUGACCCCCGACCUGGGAGAAGGAGAGGAAGGUGGCGCAAGCCACAGGUCUGGGGCCACAGGGAGCCCUGCCUGACUCGCCUGGCGCCGAUGCCUCCCCCGGGCCUUUGCACGUACGUUCCUCUGCGUGCGGCUCACUCAGGCUGUCACACACACCAGCCACAUUUCAAAUGCUUCCAUGUGUGAAUCCAGUGGCCACCAGCACAGGAUCGUGCCGGACCCUCUAGACCUCUGCCCGGGGUUUGAAUCUUAUUCUAAGAGGAUUGAGAGGCCACUGAGAGGCCUGAAACGAGGGGGACAAGACCCUCCACCCCUGCCUCCCGCCACCUGUCAGCUCGUCAAUCCUGUUUAUCCCUGCCGAGGAAUUCCCCAACAACGAAUGAAUUCAGUGCCCUCGCCUGGGACGCUUUGUAGCAGGUGCCUACCUGUGUUACAGUCCCCUUCAC